rnacentral:rRNA from 1 species
UACGUAGGGGGCGAGCGUUGUCCGGAAUCAUUGGGCGUAAAGAGCGUGUAGGCGGCCCGGUAAGUCCGCUGUGAAAGUCAAAGGCUCAACCUUUGAAUGUCAGCGGAUACUGCCGGGCUAGAGUCCGGAAGAGGCGAGUGGAACUCCUGGUGUAGCGGUGGAAUGCGCAGAUAUCAGGAAGAACACCAACGGCGAAGGCAGCUCGCUGGGACGGUACUGACGCUGAGACGCGAAAGCGUGGGGAGCGAACAGG